rnacentral:rRNA from 1 species
GUAGGUGGCAAGCGUUGUCCGGAAUUAUUGGGCGUAAAGCGCGCGCAGGCGGUCCUUUAAGUCUGAUGUGAAAGCCCACGGCUCAACCGUGGAGGGUCAUUGGAAACUGGGGGACUUGAGUACAGAAGAGGAAAGCGGAAUUCCAAGUGUAGCGGUGAAAUGCGUAGAGAUUUGGAGGAACACCAGUGGCGAAGGCGGCUUUCUGGGUCUGUAACUGACGCUGAGGCGCGAAAGCGUGGGGAGCAAACAGGGAUUAGAUACCCUGGUAGUCCACGCCGUAAACGAUGAGUGCUAAGUGUUAGGGGGUUUCCCGCCCCUUAGUGCUGCAGCUAACGCAUUAAGCACUCCGCCUGGGGGAGUACGGCCGCAAGGCUG